rnacentral:rRNA from 1 species
GACGAACGCUGGCGGCGUGCUUAACACAUACAAGUCGAACGGUGAAGCGCCUUCCUUUUUGGUGGGUGUGGAUGAGUGGCGAACGGGUGAGUAACACGUGAGUAACCUGCCCCCUUCUUCUGGAUAACCGCAUGAAAGUGUGGCUAAUACGGGAUAUUCUGGGUCUGUCGCAUGAUGGGUCUGGGAAAGAUAUUGUUUCGGUGGGGGAUGGGCUCGCGGCCUAUCAGCUUGUUGGUGGGGUGAUGGCCUACCAAGGCGGUGACGGGUAGCCGGCCUGAGAGGGUGGACGGUCACACUGGGACUGAGACACGGCCCAGACUCCUACGGGAGGCAGCAGUGGGGAAUAUUGCACAAUGGGCGCAAGCCUGAUGCAGCGACGCCGCGUGAGGGAUGGAGGCCUUCGGGUUGUGAACCUCUUUCGCCAGUGAAGCAGGCCUGCCUCGUUUGUGGGUGGGUUGACGGUAGCUGGAUAAGAAGCGCCGGCUAACUACGUG